rnacentral:rRNA from 1 species
AUGUAAUUAUUUAUUUAGGUAGUAAUAGUUAUGUUCUUGAAACUUAAAAAAUUUGGCGGUAUUUUAGUCUAUUCAGAGGAACCUGUUUUGUAAUUGAUAAUCCACGUUGGACCUUACUUAAGUUUGUUUAGCAAUUUAUAUACCGUUGUUAUUAAAAUAUUUUUGAGAAUAAUAAUAUUUAAUAAUUUAAAUAAAAAUUUAUAUCAAAUCAAGGUGUAGUUUAUAUUUAAGUAAUAAUGGGUUACAAUAAAAUUAUUUUAUGGAUAUAAUUAUGAAAAAAUUGUUGAAAUUGGAUUUGAUUGUAAAAUUAUAAAGAUUAAUAGUUUGAUUAUAGCUCUAAAAUAUGU